CGUGAGGGGUGAGGACCAGUGCUACCAAUUAGGAGGGUUGCAAAGUGGGUAAAAUAGCAAUUCCGGGGGAAUGGCAAGUCGUGGCCUUAGGGAAGAAGAAAAAUCAAUUGUGGACAGUGAGCGAGAGACACGUGCUAUUGCGGGAAAAAACAAAAAAAGAGACAAAAUAAGCGGAAGACAAUAUUCAAACACCGGAGUGACGACAGGAGGGUUGGGAUAUACACCAGCGAGGCUUCAUAGGCAGAGGAGUAGCAGUAACUGCGGGCGUUCUGGGAAGUGCGCUGUGCGCGGGUCAGCACCGACCGGCAGUACUGGGUCUUAGGCCGGACCUCGGCCCUAGCGGAAGUCAGGCCAAUUUCCAUGCAACUGGAAGUCUGGGCUAAGUACCCUUCAACAUUAAAAUACUAAAUAUUCACACACAUUCCGCUCAAACAUAGAACCAAAAUUUUAUAUACACCCUACAUACAUAUACAUAGCCAUCUCACAUACACCAGUGCAGCAUAUAACACAAAAUUCAACUAAAUACUCACACAUAUUCCGCUCAAACAUAGAACACAAAAUUUUAUAUACACCACACACUCCUUUAUAUACACUCCAUACAUGUUCACAUACACCAUAUUCAAACACACACCGAAUUUCCAUAGCACUCAGACUCACAUUCAUCCCAUAGCCACAUAAUAUAAAAUACAAAACAAAAACAACACCCAAACAUUUAACCAUAUUGUAAUACACACACGCCCAUAGCCACAUAAUGUAAAAUACAAAACAAAAAAACAACACACAAAACAAUUAACAAUUUUCUGUUAGACACAUAGCCCAAACCAUUCACAACAUAAUAUAAAACAUUAAACAGAAACACAACACCCAAACAUUUAACCAUAUUGUAAUACACACACGCCCAUAGCCACAUAAUGUAAAAUACAAAACAAAAAAACAACACACAAAACAAUUAACAAUUUUCUGUUAGACACAUAGCCCAAACCAUUCACAACAUAAUAUAAAACAUUAAACAGAAACACAACACCAAACAAGUAACCAUAUUGUAAACAAAAAUUCAAAUGUAUACUUAAGAAAAAAGAACAUAAAAAAAAAAAAAAAAGAAAAGUAAAAGAAAAUGUAUAAAAACUAAUAUAAGCAAAAGAGGUUGGAAUGUGUAUUGGAGCGGCGCAGUUUUUUUUUGUUUAUCUCCUUGUCAUUACAUAUCAUUACACCCCUCAUAACCACAUACUCGAGUAUAGGUAGGUUAGGAGGUUCGAAAAUCGAAUAAGAUAAAUAGGCACAAAGAGCCAACAAACUGCAGCGUCCCAAAACUCAAUGGCCUAAAUACCCGAAUAUAUUUUUAUUGUAAUAAAAUUUAAAAUUUGAAAAUGAA